AGGGCCUCCGUUAGGUGACCUGCGGAGGGACAUUA
rnacentral:rRNA from 1 species